CAUAGAAACUUAAUCUACAUCUAGCCAUUGAUAUAAAUGGAUGACGGACGUCGACGUCUACAAUCAGCAGAGAGAGAAAUUCUGCAAACGAUCACGUGACAUACGGUUAGCUCCAAGACCUGUAAAUGAAUUCAGAUUUUUCCAAAUUGGUGGCGGAUGUUUAAUAUAAGCACAUGGGAAGAUAUAAUGUUGUAGAUGUUGCAACUAUGGUGCUUGAUAUUGACAAACACGUGCACGGAUGUCAUGUUGUAGAUUUCACAAUGGUUAAGUGGAUGGUGCAGCUUGGUCCUUUUCCUAAGGCACAACGGGCCAGAGUGACUGAAGAGCUUCGGGCAUGCGCAUACAGUUUCUGGCUUUGGUGAUUGUAAAGCUCAAAGUGUUUGAUGAGAAACUCAAACUUUACGGCGGGAAGCAGUUUCCUGGAUCAUACACGUAAGGACGUAUAAUCUAGUAAACAGUGUCUUUUCAUUUUCAAAGAGGGUUGAAAUACCCAGCUUUCCAAGUAUUGGUGAGAAAUCAGGAAAAACGCAAUGCGGCUAUUUAUUUUAUUGUGUUAACAGGAAGAAACUUUUAAUUGAUGGAACUAUAA